rnacentral:rRNA from 1 species
CCCUUAGAUGUUCUGGGCCGCACGCGUGCUACACUGAGUGGAUCAGCGGGUCAGGUUACGCGAGAGUGUUUCCUAAUCUUCAAAUCCGCUCGUGAUGGGGAUUGACGGUUGCAAUUUUCCGUCAUGAACGAGGAAUACCUUGUAAGCGCGGGUCAUCAUCCCGCGCUGAAUACGUCCCUGCCCUUUGUACACACCGCCCGUCGCUCCUACCGAUUGAGUGGUCCGGUGAGGCUUUGGGAUCUAAGCGAAAAGAGCGUUUCGCUCCUUUUGCUGGGAGAACUCAGUCGAACCUUAUCAUUUAGAGGAAGGAGAAGUCGUAACA